UACAGAGGGCGCAAGCGUUGUCCGGAAUUAUUGGGCGUAAAGCGCUCGUAGGCGGCCUGUUGCGUCCGCUGUGAAAUCCCGGGGCUUAACCCCGGGCGUGCAGUGGAUACGGGCAGGCUGGAGGCAGGCAGGGGAGAACGGAAUUCCCGGUGUAGCGGUGAAAUGCGCAGAUAUCGGGAGGAACACCGGUGGCGAAGGCGGUUCUCUGGGCCUGUACUGACGCUGAGGAGCGAAAGCGUGGGGAGCGAACAGG
rnacentral:rRNA from 1 species